rnacentral:rRNA from 1 species
GUCUACAGACAUACCACCUUGAACACACCCGAUCCCAUCUGAUCUCGGAAGCUAAGCAGGGUCGGGCCUGGUUAUACUUGUAUGGGAGACCACCUAGGAAGACCAGAUGCUAUAGGCA